CUGCAACUCAACAACAGAUGGAAUGAGAAAUAUUGUGGCUGAUUUGUAUGUUUUCGGACUUAAUAAUGUUGACAUAUUUUAUUGUCUCUCCUUUGCAUUAGUAUCAUGAUGUAAAAUGAAAUUCACAUCAAUUAUUACAGAAAACUUUAAAAUCAGUCCUCUUUGGUAACAGAGAGUUGUACCUUGGAAGGACUAAAUCCACCAAAAUAUGCUGGGAAAGCUUAAGAUCAGCCAAAUUGCAGCAUAGCCUCUCGGCAUUCUGAACAGAAUCAAGAGAGCAGGAAAAUGGUGCCAGUCUCUAACUGUGUGGAACCAGAUAAUGGGACAGGUUUCUCUCCAUGGUCUGAGCAAUGAAUAUGGUAAUUGAAUUGAUCUUAUUCUACAGACAUGGAUGGAUUUAUGAACCAAACAGAUUGUGUUCACAGAAUGGACCAAGCUCCUGGAAGAAAAAAAACCCAAACCUGUAUAAAUGUCCUUGUUUGAAAAAGGAAGAUGUGUAGAAGAGGAGAAAGGAGCUCACAGAAUGAAAACAUAGGUUCAAUGACAGGUGGGUUCAGCCCUGAGGAAAAGAG